rnacentral:lncRNA from 1 species
AGAUGUGGCCUAGUUGUUAGGAAUUUGAGACGUGUUCUGUGGGAGUGGGGAUAAUAAAUGUUCUGUGCGUUCCUUUUUAAACAUUCUAUUUGGCUACUGGUUAAUUUUCACUAGACGUCAUUUGAACGGUUCAGUACAGUGUAUUUUACAUGUUACUUUUUUUCAGUUUUUAUUUUCUGUCAGAUAAUGUUUUCAUAUCUUAAGGUGCAGUUCCUAUCCGCGCCCUACAGCAGGCCCUACAGUGUGCAAAAAUAUGACCUAUCAACACUGUUGACUUUCUUUAGAGGACUCUUGUAUCAUAAAUAUUUUCCUGCUUCUUGAAACAAAGAAUAUAGGAUGUCUUGAUGCCAACUAAGAGUCAUUGGAAAGGCUGUAAAAAGAUGUUUAAGGUAAUAGACAAAUCUGUAAUCAUGUUAAUAAAGUGACUUUUUGGUAUUCUUAAAUAAGCAGGAAAAACCUGAAGUUGGAGGAUGAUACAUUUGUUUCUUGUUACUAGUUCUGUAAAACAAAUGGUAAAUUGGUAAAAUGAAACAACACAUGACCUAUUACUUAAGAUCAAUUUUUCCCACAAGUGGAGAUUUAUUCCACAAUCUUCAGCUUUCCAAGCAGACACCCAUCCACAGAGCCAUGAGUGAUAGAUGAUAUUCACAGUGGGCAUGACUGUGUUGUAAAUGGGUAUCAUUUUUACAAAACCAAACAGCAGGUUUAGAUAAUGUGUGUAACUGUGAAAGAGAUCAUGUGUCUCAACGGAAAUGGCUCUCACCGUUUGUGACAUCAGACCUCCCCAGUGUGUCAUUCUGAUGCAGAGCUCUUGAAAUGAAGUUGAAAGGUUUAACCAUCUCAGGCCAAAGCUCAAGUUUUAGCUCUGUCGGUUUCUGCCUGUAAACCCAUGAUUACAACUAAUUGAAAUGCAAUUUAUUGUCUUGUUUGCAGAGGUAUUAGAAAAAUGGUCGCUUUUUGGUUAGAAUUUCUUCGCCGUCCGGUGCAUUAAUUUGAAUGAUGUUCACUUCCUCAACGUCAUUGCUCACGAAAACUUUGAUGCAUUAUUCUUAUCUCGAGCUUACAUCGACCUUCAAAGAUCAAAUCCACGAGGUAUUGCGCCUCGUCCGACAACUUACAAUCCAGCAACGCAUCCAUCAACAGAAUGUAUUAAAGAGGAAAGUAAUGACCAAAUGCCGACUGGAUGAUUUCCAUGCAAGAUGAAUGUUAAAAUCCAAGGAGAUCUGGAGAACCAUUAGCUGAAUACAAUGAAUACUAUCAGUUCUCCAGAACAAGAGGCCAACAUAGGUUAAUAAUCAUACUGGAUCAAAAUAGGUACAUUCUUGAACGAGAUUUUAAAACGACAACAGCUGGAAGGGCAUGCGGAAAUUUAAAAGGACGCUACCUGCACGUUACCUUCAGUCGCUGAUUCAUCUCGAAGAUAAAAUAUAAAAAUUUUUAUAAAUUGAAGUGCAUAUCUGGGCUCCCUUCUUUUCUGUGGCCCCGUUUCCCCUUGACUUGUGAUAAGCCCGUAGGGGGUCAUGCCCCUACUGUGA